CCUACGGGGGGCAGCAGUCGAGAAUCAUUCACAAUGGGGGAAACCCUGAUGGUGCGACGCCGCGUGGGGGAAUGAAGGUCUUCGGAUUGUAAACUCCUGUCAUGUGGGAGCAAAUUAAAAAGAUAGUACCACAAUAUGAAGAGACGGCUAACUCUGUGCCAGCAGCCGCGGUAAUACAGAGGUCUCAAGCGUUGUUCGGAAUCACUGGGCGUAAAGCGUGCGUAGGCUGUUUCGUAAGUCGUGUGUGAAAGGUGCGGGCUCAACCCGCGGACGGCACAUGAUACUGCGAGACUAGAGUAAUGGAGGGGGAAGCGGAAUUCUCGGUGUAGCAGUGAAAUGCGUAGAUAUCGAGAGGAACACUCGUGGCGAAGGCGGGUUCCUGGACAUUAACUGACGCUGAGGCACGAAGGCCAGGGGAGCGAAAGGGAUUAGAUACCCUUGUAGUC
rnacentral:rRNA from 1 species